rnacentral:rRNA from 1 species
UACGUAGGGUGCGAGCGUUAAUCGGAAUUACUGGGCGUAAAGCGUGCGCAGGCGGUUUUGUAAGCCAGAUGUGAAAUCCCCGGGCUCAACCUGGGAAUGGCAUUUGGGACUGCAAGGCUGGAGUGCGGCAGAGGAGACUGGAAUUCCUGGUGUAGCAGUGAAAUGCGUAGAUAUCAGGAGGAACACCCAUGGCGAAGGCAGCUCUCUGGUCGACCUCUGACGCUGAGACGCGAAAGCGUGGGGAGCGAACGGG